rnacentral:rRNA from 1 species
GGAGGGUGCAAGCGUUAAUCGGAAUUACUGGGCGUAAAGCGCACGCAGGCGGUUUGUUAAGUCAGAUGUGAAAUCCCCGGGCUCAACCUGGGAACUGCAUCUGAUACUGGCAAGCUUGAGUCUCGUAGAGGGGGGUAGAAUUCCAGGUGUAGCGGUGAAAUGCGUAGAGAUCUGGAGGAAUACCGGUGGCGAAGGCGGCCCCCUGGACGAAGACUGACGCUCANNUGCNAAAGCGUGGGGAGCAAACAGGAUUAGAUACCCUGGUAGUCCACGCCGUAAACGAUGUCGACUUGGAGGUUGUGCCCUUGAGGCGUGGCUUCCGGAGCUAACGCGUUAAGUCGACCGCCUGGGGAGU